rnacentral:ribozyme from 1 species
ACACUCAUGUAUCAUCGAAAAAAGAAGAAAAAAAGUACUCCCAAAAAAUCGAAUACGUGUGAGGUUUGUUGCGUUUGCCGGUCGUUUUUUUUUGUUGUUUACCUGUUCACUGUUUGAGGGACCAUUGGUUUCUCGAAUGAAAAGGGAACGGCUAUGCUGCUUAAA